UACGUAGGGGGCAAGCGUUGUCCGGAAUCAUUGGGCGUAAAGAGCGUGUAGGCGGCCCGGUAAGUCCGUUGUGAAAGUCCAGGGCUCAACCCUGGAAUGCCGAUGGAUACUGCCGGGCUAGAGUUCGGAAGAGGCGAGUGGAAUUCCUGGUGUAGCGGUGGAAUGCGCAGAUAUCAGGAGGAACACCGGUGGUGUAGACGGCUUUCUGGACCGUAACUGACGCUGAGACACGAAAGCGUGGGUAGCAAACAGG
rnacentral:rRNA from 1 species